GACGAACGCUGGCGGCGUGCUUAACACAUGCAAGUCGAACGGAAAGGCCCUGCUUUUGUGGGGUGCUCGAGUGGCGAACGGGUGAGUAACACGUGAGUAACCUGCCCUUGACUUUGGGAUAACUUCAGGAAACUGGGGCUAAUACCGGAUAGGAGCUCCUGCUGCAUGGUGGGGGUUGGAAAGUUUCGGCGGUUGGGGAUGGACUCGCGGCUUAUCAGCUUGUUGGUGGGGUAGUGGCUUACCAAGGCUUUGACGGGUAGCCGGCCUGAGAGGGUGACCGGCCCCAUUGGGACUGGGAUACGGCCCAGCCCCCUCCGGGAGGCAGCAGUGGGGUAUAUUGCACAAUGGGCGGAAGCCUGAUGCAGCAACGCCGCGUGCGGGAUGACGGCCUUCGGUUUGUAUACCGCUUUCGCCUGUGACGAAGCGUGAGUGACGGUAAUGGGUAAAGAAGCACCGGCUAACUACGUG
rnacentral:rRNA from 1 species